CCGGAGCUAACGCGUUAAGUCGACCGCCUGGGGAGUACGGCCGCAAGGUUAAAACUCAAAUGAAUUGACGGGGGCCCGCACAAGCGGUGGAGCAUGUGGUUUAAUUCGAUGCAACGCGAAGAACCUUACCUGGUCUUGACAUCCACGGAAGUUUUCAGAGAUGAGAAUGUGCCUUCGGGAACCGUGAGACAGGUGCUGCAUGGCUGUCGUCAGCUCGUGUUGUGAAAUGUUGGGUUAAGUCCCGCAACGAGCGCAACCCUUAUCCUUUGUUGCCAGCGGUCCGGCCGGGAACUCAAAGGAGACUGCCAGUGAUAAACUGGAGGAAGGUGGGGAUGACGUCAAGUCAUCAUGGCCCUUACGACCAGGGCUACACACGUGCUACAAUGGCGCAUACAAAGAGAAGCGACCUCGCGAGAGCAAGCGGACCUCAUAAAGUGCGUCGUAGUCCGGAUUGGAGUCUGCAACUCGACUCCAUGAAGUCGGAAUCGCUAGUAAUCGUGGAUCAGAAUGCCACGGUGAAUACGUUCCCGGGCCUUGUACACACCGCCCGUCACACCAUGGGAGUGGGUUGCAAAAGAAGUAGGUAGCUUAACCUUCGGGAGGGCGCUUACCACUUUGUGAUUCAUGACUGGGGUGAAGUCGUAACAAGGUAACCGUAGGGGAACC
rnacentral:rRNA from 1 species